rnacentral:lncRNA from 1 species
CAGAUUUUUUCAUAUUUAAUCAACAGUAUACAUGUAUAACUGGCUAUAAAGAUUGCUUUCCAAUGUCCAUUUUUCUUUCUUACUGAUUGUGAGUUCACUAGUGGGAGAUUAAAUAUCCAGCAAAUGUCGUGUAUCUUUCUAGGCCAUAAACAGCAAAGGAAGAAUUUUUGACCAGACGAACCCACACGUUCUGACCUUUCUUCAAUUGUAUAAGAACUGUCUUACUCAACUGAUCAUGAUUCUUGUGGUUUGCGUGCACGAGAGUAUACUGGCUGCCAUCUUUCAUCAACUUCACAUAACUCUGAUAACCAUUCCGUUGCAAAUACGAGAAACUGAUUUGAUAAAUACCAUCAACAGGGGCAGUGGACCGAUGGCGCAGGCGACAGUAGACAAACAACAACAAUGGUUUGGUUUUCUUAUUAUUAAAUUAUACAAACACGAAAUUUGCAUAAAAUAUGUAUAUAUAAUCUGAAGCUAUAAGAUAAAGAAUAUAAAGAAAAUUACGACUAUGUUUACAAAUAUAAAUACAAUACAUUACGUUACAAUUACACUGUUUUUAACUUACAUUUGUCCAAACCAAUGAUAAACUUNNNNNNNNNNNNNNNNNNNNACUUUUCCCGGUUCAAAACAUUAAUUUUUAGCGUUUCUUUAGACUACUUUUAUACGUACUUUUAACGUUCAACAUGGCUUCCUUUUCGCGCGCUUUUUUUCAGUUCAUCGCGGGCGACAAUAAAUAUUCUACGUACGUCAUGUUAUUUUAGUCAACUCAACGUAACAGGCAGUAAACUUUCCAGUGCUGGGAUUGUAACCAUUUGCAAUAUUUAAUGAGACGUCAUUAAACUUGAUGGCAUCAUGAGCGUAGUUUGGUCCGAUGCUACCAGAUGUCAGAGUUGCAAAAAAUGCAGGGAUGCG